rnacentral:rRNA from 1 species
GACCUGCGGUAGGUCAUUACCGAGUGCGGGCUGCCUCCGGGCGCCCAACCUCCCACCCGUGACUACCUAACACUGUUGCUUCGGCGGGGAGCCCUCUCGGGGGCGAGCCGCCGGGGACUACUGAACUUCAUGCCUGAGAGUGAUGCAGUCUGAGUCUGAAUAUAAAAUCAGUCAAAACUUUCAACAAUGGAUCUCUUGGUUCCGGCAUCGAUGAAGAACGCAGCGAACUGCGAUAAGUAAUGUGAAUUGCAGAAUUCAGUGAAUCAUCGAGUCUUUGAACGCACAUUGCGCCCCCUGGCAUUCCGGGGGGCAUGCCUGUCCGAGCGUCAUUGCUGCCCAUCAAGCCCGGCUUGUGUGUUGGGUCGUCGUCCCCCCCGGGGGACGGGCCCGAAAGGCAGCGGCGGCACCGUGUCCGGUCCUCGAGCGUAUGGGGCUUUGUCACCCGCUCGAUUAGGGCCGGCCGGGCGCCAGCCGACGUCUCCAACCAUUUUCUUCAGGUUGACCUCGGAUCAGGUAGGGAUACCCGCUGAACUUAAGAUAU